GCCGUCCUAGCUCAGCGGCAGAGCAGCGCAAUCGUGAUGCGAAGGUCGGAUGUUCCACUCACCUGGGCGACC
rnacentral:tRNA from 1 species